rnacentral:rRNA from 1 species
UACGAAGGGGGCUAGCGUUGCUCGGAAUCACUGGGCGUAAAGCGCACGUAGGCGGAUCUUUAAGUCAGGGGUGAAAUCCCAAGGCUCAACCUUGGAACUGCCUUUGAUACUGGGGAUCUCGAGUCCGGAAGAGGUGAGUGGAACUGCGAGUGUAGAGGUGAAAUUCGUAGAUAUUAGGAAGAACACCAGUGGCGAAGGCGGCUCACUGGCCCGGUACUGACGCUGAGGCGCGAAAGCGUGGGGAGCAAACAGG